rnacentral:rRNA from 1 species
UCCCACAAAGCCGGUCUCAGUUCGGAUUGGAGUCUGCAACUCGACUCCAUGAAGGCGGAGUCGCUAGUAAUCCCGGAUCAGCAACGCCGGGGUGAAUACGUUCCCGGGCCUUGUACACACCGCCCGUCACACCACGAAAGUCGGCAACACCCGAAGUCAGUGGCCUAACUCUUUUAGAGAAGGAGCUGCCGAAGGUGGGGUUGGUGAUUGGGGUGAAGUCGUAACAAGGUAGCCGUACCGGAAGGUGCGGCUGGAUCACCUCCUUU